UGCUCAGAUUGAACGCUGGCGGCAGGCCUAACACAUGCAAGUCGAGCGGAAACGAGAAGUAGCUUGCACCUUCGGCGUCGAGCGGCGGACGGGUGAGUAAUGCAUAGGAAGUUGCCCUAACGAGGGGGAUACCAGUUGGAAACGACUGUUAAUACCGCAUAAUCUCCUUUCUGUUAAAGGAAAGAAGCAAAGCGGGGGACCUUCGGGCCUCGCGCGUUAGGAUACGCCUAUGUGGGAUUAGCUAGUUGGUGAGGUAAUGGCUCACCAAGGCGACGAUCCCUAGCUGGUCUGAGAGGAUGAUCAGCCACACUGGGACUGAGACACGGCCCAGACUCCUACGGGAGGCAGCAGUGGGGAAUAUUGCACAAUGGGCGAAAGCCUGAUGCAGCCAUGCCGCGUGUAUGAAGAAGGCCUUCGGGUUGUAAAGUACUUUCAGUUGUGAGGAAGGUUUCGUCGUUAAUAGCGGCGUUGCUUGACGUUAGCAACAGAAGAAGCACCGGCUAACUCCGUGCCAGCAGCCGCGGUAAUACGGAGGGUGCGAGCGUUAAUCGGAAUUACUGGGCGUAAAGCGCAUGCAGGUGGUUUGUUAAGUCAGAUGUGAAAGCCCGGGGCUCAACCUCGGAAGGUCAUUUGAAACUGGCAAACUAGAGUACUGUAGAGGGGGGUAGAAUUUCAGGUGUAGCGGUGAAAUGCGUAGAGAUCUGAAGGAAUACCAGUGGCGAAGGCGGCCCCCUGGACAGAUACUGACACUCAGAUGCGAAAGCGUGGGGAGCAAACAGGAUUAGAUACCCUGGUAGUCCACGCCGUAAACGAUGUCUACUUGGAGGUUGUGGCCUUGAGCCGUGGCUUUCGGAGCUAACGCGUUAAGUAGACCGCCUGGGGAGUACGGUCGCAAGAUUAAAACUCAAAAUGAAUUGACGGGGGCCCCGCACAAGCGGUGGAGCAUGUGGUUUAAUUCGAUGCAACGCGAAGAACCUUACCUACUCUUGACAUCCAGAGAAGCCAGUAGAGAUAAAGGUGUGCCUUCCGGAACUCUGAGACAGGUGCUGCAUGGCUGUCGUCAGCUCGUGUGUGAAAUGUUGGGUUAAGUCCCGCAACGAGCGCAACCCUUUAUCCUUG
rnacentral:rRNA from 1 species